GCUCGGGUGGCGAAGCGGUUAACGCGCCGGUCUGCAAAACCGGUAUUCGCCGGUUCGAAUCCGGCCCUGAGCU
rnacentral:tRNA from 1 species